rnacentral:rRNA from 1 species
GACGAACCGAGCGAACGUUGUUCGGAAUCACUGGGCUUAAAGGGCGCGUAGGCGGGCAUUCAAGUCUAUGGUGAAAUCCGGCAGCUCAACUGUCGAACUGCCGUGGAUACUGGAUGUCUCGAGGGAGGUAGGGGCGUGCGGAACUAAUGGUGGAGCGGUGAAAUGCGUUGAUAUCAUUAGGAACUCCGGUGGCGAAGGCGGCACGCUGGGCCUCUUCUGACGCUGAGGCGCGAAAGCCAGGGGAGCAAACGGG